rnacentral:lncRNA from 1 species
AAGAAUAACCUUGGAGUAUCACUUGAAUUUUCAAAACGACCUAACAAUGCUAAACUAUAAGCUCAUAACUCAUAACCUAUCAAAAAAAGUACAGAUAAAACAAAAAAACUAUUUAAAUCUUAAAAAAUGAAAUAUGAGAAAAAAAUGAAAAGAGAAGAAAUAAAUUUUAAAGUAUAUGUAAAUUUUAGAUAUUAAGUAAAAAAGAGAAUAUGUAAGUUGAAUUUUAAUCGGUAA